rnacentral:tRNA from 1 species
GGGCAUAUAGCUCAAUGGUUAGAGUACCGAGCUUAUACCUCGGCGGUUCUUGGUUCGAAUCCAAGUAUGCCCA